GAUGAAGAACGUAGCGAAAUGCGAUAACUAAUGUGAAUUGCAGAAUUCCGUGAAUCAUCGAGUCUUUGAACGCACAUUGCGCCCCCUGGUAUUCCGGGGGGCAUGCCUGUCCGAGCGUCAUUGCUGCCCAUCAAGCACGGCUUGUGUGUUGGGUCCCGUCCCCCUCUCCCGGGGGACGGACCCGAAAGGCAGCGGCGGCACCGCGUCCGGUCCUCGAGCGUAUGGGGCUUUGUCACCCGCUCUUGUAGGCCCGGCCGGCGCUUGCCGACACCCAACCAUUUUUUUCAGGUUGACCUCGGAUCAGGUAGGGAUACCCGCUGAACUUAAGCAUAUCAAUAACGGAGGA
rnacentral:misc_RNA from 1 species